GACCUGGUAGCACAACGGUUAGUGCAUCUGCUACGCCUGAGACGAGCAUGAGUAAAAUGUGGCAGAAGGUCCCUGUUCAAUUCGGGGUCAGGUCA